rnacentral:sRNA from 1 species
GCCGGGCAUGGUGGCUCACGCCUGUAAUCCCAGCAGCUUGGGAGGCUGAGACAGGAUGAUCGCAAGUUCAGAUCCAUCCUCAGCAACAGUGAGGUGCUUAGCAACUCAGUGAGACCCUGUAUUUA